rnacentral:rRNA from 1 species
UGGGGAAUAUUGCACAAUGGGCGAAAGCCUGAUGCAGCAACGCCGCGUGAGGGACGACGGCCUUCGGGUUGUAAACCUCUUUUAGCAAGGAAGAAGCGAAAGUGACGGUACUUGCAGAAAAAGCGCCGGCUAACUACGUGCCAGCAGCCGCGGUAAUACGUAGGGCGCAAGCGUUAUCCGGAAUUAUUGGGCGUAAAGAGCUCGUAGGCGGUUUGUCGCGUCUGCUGUGAAAACCCGAGGCUCAACCUCGGGCCUGCAGUGGGUACGGGCAGACUAGAGUGCGGUAGGGGAGAUUGGAACUCCUGGUGUAGCGGUGGAAUGCGCAGAUAUCAGGAAGAACACCGAUGGCGAAGGCAGAUCUCUGGGCCGUAACUGACGCUGAGGAGCGAAAGGGUGGGGAGCAAAACAGGCUUAGAUACCCUGGUAGUCCACCCCGUAAACGUUGGGAACUAGUUGUGGGGUCCAUUCCACGGAUUCCGUGACGCAGCUAACGCAUUAAGUUCCCCGCCUGGGGAGUACGGCCGCAAGGCUAAAAACUGCAAAGGAAUUGACGGGGUCAU